UACGUAAGUGGCAAGCGUUGUCCGGAAUCACUGGGCGUAAAGAGCACGUAGGCGGCUCUGUAAGUCCGAGGUGAAAUCCAGAGGCUCAACCUCUGAACUGCCUUGGAAACUGCAGAGCUCGAGGAUCCGAGGGGAAAGUGGAAUUCAGGGUGUAGCGGUGAAAUGCGUAGAUAUCCUGGAGAACACCGAUGGCGAAGGCAGCUUUCUGGCGGAUUCCUGACGCUGAGGUGCGAAAGCUAGGGGAGCAAACGGG
rnacentral:rRNA from 1 species